GGGCCGCUGGUCCAAAGGGAAGACACUUGGUUUGCACCCAGGCAAUCGGGGUUCGAGUCCCCGGCGGUCCA
rnacentral:tRNA from 1 species